UAAUAUAGGGAGGUGACCAUUCUACAUUGAUCUGGUGCCUUUUAAUGGGAUUCGAAACUGUGACUGUGAGAUGUAGGAGAGUUUGACUUGUAGAUGGGUACUUCUACUUUCACUUUAAACGGAUGACAGGUGCUUGAGUGUAUUUCAACCCAUUACCAGGCUAGCAGCAGGUGUCAUCAUGGACCUUCAAAAUCUUUCAUAUGUGUACUUUCAAGAUGCAUAUACAUUAUGUGAAAAAAUUGGUUGCCAUGGUAACAAAAUA